UCGGAAAGCGUAUAUUAAAGUUGUUGCGGUUAUAAGCUCGUAGUUGGAUUUCUGCUGAGGACGACCGGUCCGCCCUGUGGGUGAGUAUCUGGCUUGGCCUUGGCAUCUUCUUGGAGAACGUAGCUGCACUUGACUGUGUGGUGCGGUAUCCAGGACUUUCACUUUGAGGAAAUUAGAGGUUUUCAAGCAGGCACACGCCUUGAAUACAUUAGCAAGGAAUAAUAAGAUAGGACCUUGGUUCUAUUUUGUUGGUUUCUAGAGCUGAGGUAAUGAUUAAUAGGGAUAGAUGGGGGCAUUCGUAUUUAAUUGUCAAAGGUGAACUUCUUGGAUUUGUUAAAGACGGACUACUGCGAAAGCAUUUGCCAAGGAUGUUUUCAUUGAUCAAGAACGAAAGUUAGGGGAUCGAAGACGAUCAGAUACCGUCCUUGUCUUGGCCAUAAACCAUGCCGACUAGAGAUUGGAGGUCGUUAUCUUUACGAUUCCUUCGGCACCUUAUGAGAAAUCAAAGUCUUUGGGUUCCGGGGGGAGUACGGUCGCAAGGCUGAAACUUAAAGGAAUUGACGAAAGGGCACCACCAGGAGUGGAGCCUGCGGCUUAAUUUGAUUCAACACGGGGAAACUCACCAGGUCCAGACAUAGUAAGGAUUGACAGAUUGAUAGCUCUUUCUUGAUUCAAUGGGUGGUGGUGCAUGGCCGUUCUUAGUUAGUGGAAUGAUUUG
rnacentral:rRNA from 1 species